GUCAGAUUUUUUUAAAAUUAUAUUAUUAACGGAAAACUAAAGAAGAAAUGUUUAUUUUUGUGGAGUUUUCAGCUAAAUAUGGUUUUCAUAGUUUUUGUUAAAAUAUGGUGACCUUUUUUGAAGGAUGUAGUCAACGCUUACUUAUGGCCUUUACGGGUAACACUCAGUACAAACAACGACUUUAUUGACACGAGUGGUUCCCAAGUUAUGACCAAAAAUGUCUGUUAAAAUCGUAAAAUUACAAUUUGGUCAUAAAAUCGGAAAAUUUGAUGGCUCCGGGACCUUGGAUGACAAAAUCGGUUCUAAUUCAAAAAAUGCUUGAGAAGCAACACGAGGAUCCCGCGAGAGUGCAGCAAAAAAAACCUUUAAGAACGAACCUCCCAAGAAAUGAAAAAAGAAAAAAGUGCCCGUGUCGGAGCGCGUUUCUCAACACGCCGCUCCGGAUACGACU